GGGUAGAGCUCAGUGGUAGAACGCUUGCCUAGUAUACACAGGACCUUGGGUUCCAUCCCCAGAAGCUGCCCA
rnacentral:tRNA from 1 species